rnacentral:rRNA from 1 species
UGAAUACGAGACGCUAAGGCGUCGAAGUAGUGUAUGUCAUACUUCCAGGAAAAGCUUGCACUGUCAUAAGUAAAAAAUGCCUGUACCAUAACCGACACAGGUGGGUAGGUAGAGUAUACUAAGGGGCGCGAGAUAACUCUCUCUAAGGAACUCGGCAAAAUAACUCCGUAACUUCGGGAGAAGGAGUACCUUAUUCUAUAAGGUUGCAAUAACAAGAUCCAAGCAACUGUUUAUCAAAAACACAGGUCUCCGCUAAGUCGUAAGACGAUGCAUGGGGGCUGACGCCUGCCCAGUGCCAGAAGGUUAAAGAAGUCGGUUAGCAUUAGCGAAGCUGGUAACUGAAGCCCUGGUGAACGGCGGCCGUAACUAUAACGGUCCUAAGGUAGCGAAAUUCCUUGUCGGGUAAGUUCCGACCCGCACGAAAGGCGUAAUGAUUUGGAUACUGUCUCGGAGAGGGGCUCGGUGAAAUAGACUUGUCUGUGAAGAUGCGGACUACCUGCACCAGGACAGAAAGACCCUAUGAAGCUUUACUGUAACUUGAAAUUGAAAUUGGACUUUAUUCGCGCAGUAUAGGUGGGAGGUGUUGAUUAUAAUCUUGCGGGAUUAUUGGAGCCAUCAGUGAGAUACCACUCUUGUAAUGUUAGAUUUCUAACUUUGAAUCAUUAUCUGGUCAAAGGACAGUUUCAGGCGGGCAGUUUGACUGGGGCGGUCGCCUCCCAAACGGUAACGGAGGCGUACAAAGGUUUCCUCUGAACGGGUAGAAAUCGUAUCUAGAGUGUAAAGGCAUAAGGAAGCUUGACUGUGAGACCUACAAGUCGAACAGGGACGAAAGUCGGCCUUAGUGAUCUGACGGUACUGAGUGGAAAGGCCGUCACUCAACGGAUAAAAGUUACUCUAGGAUAACAGGCUGAUCUCCCCCAAGAGUUCACAUCGACGGGGAGGUUUGGCACCUCGAUGUCGGCUCAUCGCAUCCUGGGGCGGUAGUACGUCCCAAGGGUUGGGCUGUUCGCCCAUGAAAGCGGUACGCGAGCUGGGUUCAGAACGUCGUGAGACAGUUCGGUCCAUAUCCGGUGUAGGCGUUAGAAUAUUGAGAGGAGCCUUCUUUAGUACGAGAGGACCGAGAAGGACAUACCUCUGGUGUACCAGUUAUCGUGCCAACGGUAAACGCUGGGUAGCUAUGUAUGGAGUGGAUAACCGCUGAAAGCAUCUAAGUGGGAAGCCCACCUCAAGAUAAG